rnacentral:rRNA from 1 species
AUUGAACGCUAGCGGGAUGCCUUACACAUGCAAGUCGAACGGAGUGGCGAACGGGUGAGUAAUGUCUCGGAACGUGCCCAGUAGCGGGGGAUAACUACGCGAAAGCGUAGCUAAUACCGCAUACUAUUGGCGCGGCCGAUAGCGGAGUAGAUAGUGGGUGGGGUAACGGCUAACCAAGGCGACGAUCCGUAGCGGGUUUGAGAGGACGACCAGCCACACUGGGACUGAGACACGGCCCAGACUCCUACGGGAGGCAGCAGUAGGGAAUCUUGGACAAUGGGGGAAACCCUGAUCGAGCCAUCCCGCGUGUGCGAAGAAGGCCUUCGGGUUGUAAAGCACUUUUGGCAGGGAAGCGGUACCUGCAGAAUAAGCACCGGCUAACUACGUGCCAGCAGCCGCGGUAAUAC